rnacentral:rRNA from 1 species
AGUGAACGCUGGCGGUAGGCCUAACACAUGCAAGUCGAACGGCAGCACAGGAGAGCUUGCUCUCUGGGUGGCGAGUGGCGGACGGGUGAGGAAUGCAUCGGAAUCUACCUUUUUCGUGGGGGAUAACGUAGGGAAACUUACGCUAAUACCGCAUACGACCUACGGGUGAAAGUGGGGACCGGCAAGGCCUCACGCGAUUAGAUGAGCCGAUGUCCGAUUAGCUAGUUGGCGGGGUAAUGGCCCACCAAGGCGACGAUCGGUAGCUGGUCUGAGAGGAUGAUCAGCCACACUGGAACUAAGACACGGUCCAGACUCCUACGGGAGGCAGCAGUGGGGAAUAUUGGACAAUGGGCGCAAGCCUGAUCCAGCCAUACCGCGUGGGGUGAAAGAAGGCCUUCGGGUUGUAAAGCCCUUUUGUUGGGAAAGAAUCCUAUCGGUUAAUAACCGGUGGGAUGACGGUACCAAAGAAUAAGCACCGGCUAACUUCGUGCCAGCAGCCGCGGUAAUACGAAGGGUGCAAGCGUUACUCGGAAUUACUGGGCGUAAAGCGUGCGUAGGUGGUGGUUUAAGUCUGCUGUGAAAGCCCUGGGCUCAACCUGGGGAAUUGCAGUGGAUACUGGAUCACUAGAGUGUGGUAGAGGGAUGCGGAAUUUCUGGUGUAGCAGUGAAAUGCGUAGAGAUCAGAAGGAACAUCCGUGGCGAAGGCGGCAUCCU